GAAACAUCUAAGUACCCCGAGGAAAAGAAAUCAACCGAGAUUCCCCCAGUAGCGGCGAGCGAACGGGGAGCAGCCCAGAGCCUGAAUCAGUGUGUGUGUUAGUGGAAGCGUCUGGAAAGGCGCGCGAUACAGGGUGACAGCCCCGUACACAAAAAUGCACAUGCUGUGAGCUCGAUGAGUAGGGCGGGACACGUGGUAUCCUGUCUGAAUAUGGGGGGACCAUCCUCCAAGGCUAAAUACUCCUGACUGACCGAUAGUGAACCAGUACCGUGAGGGAAAGGCGAAAAGAACCCCGGCGAGGGGAGUGAAAAAGAACCUGAAACCGUGUACGUACAAGCAGUGGGAGCACGCUUAGGCGUGUGACUGCGUACCUUUUGUAUAAUGGGUCAGCGACUUAUAUUCUGUAGCAAGGUUAACCGAAUAGGGGAGCCGAAGGGAAACCGAGUCUUAACUGGGCGUUAAGUUGCAGGGUAUAGACCCGAAACCCGGUGAUCUAGCCAUGGGCAGGUUGAAGGUUGGGUAACACUAACUGGAGGACCGAACCGACUAAUGUUGAAAAAUUAGCGGAUGACUUGUGGCUGGGGGUGAAAGGCCAAUCAAACCGGGAGAUAGCUGGUUCUCCCCGAAAGCUAUUUAGGUAGCGCCUCGUGAAUUCAUCUCCGGGGGUAGAGCACUGUUUCGGCAAGGGGGUCAUCCCGACUUACCAACCCGAUGCAAACUGCGAAUACCGGAGAAUGUUAUCACGGGAGACACACGGCGGGUGCUAACGUCCGUCGUGAAGAGGGAAACAACCCAGACCGCCAGCUAAGGUCCCAAAGUCAUGGUUAAGUGGGAAACGAUGUGGGAAGGCCCAGACAGCCAGGAUGUUGGCUUAGAAGCAGCCAUCAUUUAAAGAAAGCGUAAUAGCUCACUGGUCGAGUCGGCCUGCGCGGAAGAUGUAACGGGGCUAAACCAUGCAC
rnacentral:rRNA from 1 species